ACUUUGAAAACAUGAAGGUAUAUUUUAGAUAUCACUGUUUUGUUACAAUCGAUCCUAAUCGUGCAUCUAAUACUUAAAUUUCAUAUUCACAAAGGCAAUUAUUUAAAGCCCACCGCUUAUUUCAGAGAGCAAAUUUAUGUUCUCAGGUGAGUAUCCAAUUGUUAGAAACUACUUCCAAUAUUUAAUUACCAAUUGUGUUUUCUACUAGAAACAUGGGGUGCACUGGGAAACUGAGAAAUACUUCCCAGCAGCUACUCUAGCUGCCCUGGAGGGCCAAUCCAGAAUCACGACCCACACUGCUCCCGGGAAACUGAGAGAAAUACUUCCCAGCAGCUACUCUAGCUGCCCUGGAGGGACGAUCCAGAAUCACGACCCAUGCUGCUCCUUCAGCUCUGUGACUGUAUCAACAGUGUCCCAUUUUCUUUUCUUUUUUAUUUUUGUUGAGAUGGGGUCUCUCUCCGUCACCCAGGCUGGAGUGCGGUGGUGCACUGCAGGAGAAACCCACAGUGCUUCAUGAGCAUAUCUGGGCUCACUGCAGCCUCCACCUCCUGGGCUCAAGUGAUCCUCCCAACUGAGCCUCCUGAGUAGCUGGGAGUACAGGUGCACGCCACUGCGCCCGGCUAAUUUUUUAAAUUUGAGUAGAAGAUGAGGUCUCACUAUGUUGCCAAGGCAGUCUCAAACGACUGAGCUCAGGUGAUUCUCCCACCUCAGCCUCCCAAAGUGCUGGGAUUAUAGGCAUGAGCCAAAUCCCAAAUAAUUUCUAAUAAAAGUAAAAUGACAGCUUGGAUUUGGUCUACAAUAAACACCUCUUCUGCUUUCGUCACAAACGUGUAGCCCUUCUCCAGUGAGGGUCAGCCAGGCAUGUUAAUUCACAGGUGUGUGACACAGGCUGGCUCUUAGCCCCGCUGUGUCAGGGAGCAGGAUCUGCCCAACAAGACGCUGAGGCCACACAGCCCUCGGGAGAGCCUAGCCCCAUCAUGACACCUUCUGCUGAAGCUCCUUAGGUUCCAAUCAUUUCACUGUUCAGUGAGCCCUCUCUAGCCUCCGUGUCUUCCUCGGUGGCAAGAAGGAGGCCAACAGAGCACCCAGGACACAGGAUCACAGAGAAGGCUCUUCCAGCCACAAGUGAAGGCACCGCAGGGAAAAAUCCAUAUGCUCUGUGAGCACACGCAGGUGGAUGACCUAGAGAGCCAGGCCAAGGAGGGUCCACAAACAGGCCUUGCACACGUUCUGGGGUGGCGCAAACCAGUACAACCCUGUCUGAUAACUGCCUGGCAAGAUGUAUCAAGCGCCAUAGACAGUAUUUAGUUUCUUUAAUUCAAAAAUCCUACUUCUGAAACUUUAACCUAAGGAAACGAACCAUAAGAAAUUCCAGCCGGACGCAAUGGCUCACACCUGUCAUCCCAGCACUUUGGGAGUCGAGACAGGUGGAUCACUUGAGUCCAGGAGUUAGAAACCAGCCUGGGCAACAUAGCGAAAACCCAUCUCUACAGGGGGAAAAAAAAAACACAACGUAGCUGGGGCUGGGCGCAGUGGCUUACGACUGUCAUCCAGGCACUUUGGGAGGCUGAGGUGAGUGGAUCACCUGAGGUCAGGAGUUCAACACCAGCCUGGCCAACAUGGUGAAACCCUGUCUCUACUAAAAAUACAAAAAUUAGCUGGGCGUGGUACCACGCGCCUGUAAGCCCAGCUACUAGGGAGGCUAACGCAGGAGAAUCGCUUAAACAUGGCGGGCGGAGGUUGCAGUGGGCUGAGAUCGCGCCACUUCACUCCUGCCUGGGCAACGAAGAGUGAAACUCCAUCUCAAAACAAACAAACAAACAAACAAACAAACAAAAGCACUCUAGGUAUAAAAGGAACUUCCUCUGCCUGCAAGACCCCCCAUCUCCUUCCCAUGAAGUCCUUAACUUCUGUUCAACCCAAACGCCCAGCGCGUCCCUUCCACUGCGCUGCCCGAUGCACCUCUUCCCGCCACGCCUUCAGUGUUGUGGUCAUUUGUGCCUGCGCACCCAGGGCUGCAGGUACCUUCCUCCUGUGUGCUUCCAGGACGGUUAUUCAGGAUGCUGAGACGAGCCGCCAGCUCACACAGAACUGGGGUGUGACCUCAGCACCUGCUGCCUGUGUUCCUGAGGCUGUCCGCCAAGGCGCUCAGGAAACGCACAUGCCUCCUGAGCCUCAUAUGCACACCUCGUGGACGGCAGCCUGCAGGACCACUGGCAAGUUUUGUUGCCAAAAUCCCUCUUCGAGGAAAAAAAGUCAAUUGUUGACAAUUAGAUAUUAUGAUCACAUAACUCACUUCAAUCAGUCAUCUAAAAACAAACGGCUGAUACCACUGAGUCUCAAGGAAGCAGCCACAGGGGCCACAUCAGGCUCAUCCCACUUGGAAACCGCCCCUGAAGACAGCAGCCCCGAGCGCCACAGCUGACCCUGACAGAGGAGAGGCCUCCGGGGCAGGGGCUCCACCUUGACGCAUUCACACUUCACAGUGGAAAGGGGCCUUCUCCACAAGAAGCUGUGUGAAAAUGUUAGCAACUGCUGCCGGGCGCGGUGGCUCACGCCUGUCAUCCCAGCACUUCGGGAGGCUGAGGCGGGUGCAUCACCUGAGGUCGGGAGUCUGAGACAAGCCUGACCAACAUGCAGAAACCCCAUCUUUACUAAAAAUACAAAAAAUCAGCCAGGUGUGGUGACGCAUGCCUGUAAUCCCAGCUACUCGGGAAGCUAAGGCAACAGAAUGGCUUGAACCCGGGAGGCGGAGGUUGCGGUGAGCUGAGAUCGCGCCACUGCACUCCAGGCUGGGCAACAAGAGCGAAAUUCCGUCUCAAAAAAAGAAAAAAAAAAUGUUAGCAACUGCUUUUUUUCUAGUUUUCUAGUUCUAGUUAGCAACCGUGAAGUAACUGUACCUUCACAUGUAGUUGUAAGAAAUGGCACAGAGCAGGCUGGGCGCAGUGGCUCACACCUGUAAUCCCAGCACUUUGUGGGGACCGAGGCAGGCAGAUGAUGAGGUCAGGAGUUCGAGACCAGCCUGACCAACAUACUGAAACCCCAUCUCUACUAAAAACAAACAAAAUUAGCUGGGUGUGGUGGCACGCGCCUGUAAUCCCAGCUACUCAGGAGGCUGAGGCAGGAGAAUCGCUUGAACCCGGGAGGUGGAGGUUGCAGUGAGCAGAGAUCGAGCCACUGCACUCCAUCCUGGGUGACAGAGCCAGACCCCAUCUCAAAAAAAAAUAAAUAAAUAAAAAUAAAUGACGCAGAGCAAUACCUUGUCCCCCUGCUUCCAGGGGUUCCAUCUCACAAAACUAUGAACAGUAUCACAGCCAGGCUCUCCCACCACGACGGUCCACCAAGCUCCCCGGGGUCAUCCCAUGACACACGCGCAGUGUGUGCCCACCGCAGCUGAGGCAAUCCAACCACAGGCUCCCUCCGGCUGUCUCCUUCCCCCAUCCUUAACCCCUAGCAACCACGAAUCUGUGUUCCAUCUCUUUAAUUUUUGUCUUUAGAGAAUGCUGUAUAAAAAAAAAAUCAUACGGCAUGUGAUCUUUCAGCUCGGCCUUUUUUCACUCCGUAUAAUUCCUUCUGGGUUCACCCGCGUUAUCAGUGAGCGGGGCCUUUUUUCCACUCCGUGUAAUUCCUUCUGGGUUCACCCGCGUUAUCAGUGAGCGGAGUCUUUUUUCCACUCUGUGUAAUUCCUUCUGGGUUCACCCGCCUUACCAGUGAGCAGGGUCUUUUUUCACUCCGUGUAAUUCCUUCCAGGUUCACCCGCGUUAUCAGUGAGCGGAGCCUUUUUUCACUCCGUAUAAUUCCUUCCAGGUUCAUUCGUAGCAAACUAUAGUUCAACCCAAAACAGAAUAAACAUAAAACAAUCACUUGGCCGGGCGUGGUGGCUCACGCCUAUAAUCCCAGCACUUUGGGAGGCCGAGGUGGGCAGACCACAACGUCAGGAGAUCGAGAUCAUCCUAGCUCACAUGGUGAAACUCCGUCUCUACUAAAAACACAAAAAAUUAGCCGGGCAUGGUUGCGGGCACCUUUAGUCCCAGUUACUCGGGAGGCUGAGGCAGGAGAACUGCUUGAACCCACGAGGUGGAGUUUGCAAUGAGCCGAGAUCGUGGCAUUGCACUCCAACUUCGGCAACAAGAGCGAAGCUCCAUCUC
rnacentral:lncRNA from 1 species